rnacentral:rRNA from 1 species
GUGCCAGCAGCCGCGGUAAUACGAAGGGGGCUAGCGUUGCUCGGAAUCACUGGGCGUAAAGCGCACGUAGGCGGCUUGUUAAGUCGGAGGUGAAAUCCUGGAGCUCAACUCCAGAACUGCCUUCGAUACUGACGAGCUCGAGUCCGGGAGAGGUGAGUGGAACUGCGAGUGUAGAGGUGAAAUUCGUAGAUAUUCGCAAGAACACCAGUGGCGAAGGCGGCUCACUGGCCCGGUACUGACGCUGAGGUGCGAAAGCGUGGGGAGCAAACAGGAUUAGAUACCCCAGUAGUCC